UUAACUGAAGCCAAAAUUAUUAGAGGCUUUUUAUUGUUAAUAAAAACAUUGAUUAGGUAAGAUCCAGUUAAA
rnacentral:tRNA from 1 species